rnacentral:tRNA from 1 species
GCCUGAGUGGCUCAGUGGUGUAGCGUCUGCCUUCAGCUCAGGGCAUGAUCCUGGGGUGGCAGGAUCGAGUCCUGCAUCAGGCU